ensembl:misc_RNA Metazoa_SRP Metazoan signal recognition particle RNA
GCUGGGCAUGGUGGCGCGUGCCUGUAAUCCCAGCUACUCAGGAGGCUGAGGCAGGAGAAUCGCUUGAACCCAGGAGGCAGGAGUUGCAUGCAGUGAGUCGAGAUUGCACCACUGCACUCCAGCCUGGGUGACAGAGUGAGACUCUGUCUCAA